AUUGAACGCUGGCGGCAUGCCUUACACAUGCAAGUCGAACGGUAACAGGUCUUCGGAUGCUGACGAGUGGCGAACGGGUGAGUAAUACAUCGGAACGUGCCUAGUAGUGGGGGAUAACUACGCGAAAGAGUGGCUAAUACCGCAUGAGAUCUACGGAUGAAAGCAGGGGAUCGCAAGACCUUGCUCUAAUAGAGCGGCCGAUGGCAGAUUAGGUAGUUGGUGGGAUAAAAGCUUACCAAGCCGACGAUCUGUAGCUGGUCUGAGAGGAAGAUCAGCCACACUGGGACUGAGACACGGCCCAGACUCCUACGGGAGGCAGCAGUGGGGAAUUUUGGACAAUGGGCGAAAGCCUGAUCCAGCAAUGCCGCGUGCAGGAUGAAGGCCUUCGGGUUGUAAACUGCUUUUGUACGGAACGAAAAGCCCCGGGUUAAUACCCUGGGGUCAUGACGGUACCGUAAGAAUAAGCACCGGCUAACUACGUGCCAGCCGCCGCCGUAA
rnacentral:rRNA from 1 species